UUGACCCCAAGGGAUGUCAGAUCUGCCACAAAUAUGGGAAACCCACUGUUCACACAGAUAAAGUCUAUCCUAUAUUUGCACGGUGUCGCACAGUACAAGAUACGACCAUAUUGUAUACACAUCCAAAAACAAUCACCACAUCACAUAAACCACUUUCACAUUCAUUCCAUCACAAGUUUACCAUAUUUUCAUCAUAAAAUCACAUCUAUUAGUUUAAAACAUUUAUCACUCGAAAAUUCAUUUUGAAAUACUAAAAAUUAUGAAGAACGGUAAAACCUUUUUAAAACUGUUUUCCACACGAAAACUUUUUUCUUUAAAAACAAGCUACCACGAAGGGUAGAAAAUCAUUUCCAAUCUUUUACAUGAAAACCACGAGUACUUUAUUUAAUUUCACAAAACCAUAAACAUUUACUCGAAUGAAACCAUUGAACCAUAA
rnacentral:lncRNA from 1 species